AUGUUAUAUGCAAUCAACACUGCUACACAAAUGGGAUGUAAUCGUGUGAUAUUUGAAACAGACUCCGUGGUGUUGAAGCAGGCAAUCUCAAGCGAGGAGUAUGACUUGUCGACUUUAGGUGCCGUGUUUCAGGAAAUAAAAUUUCUGUUGAAUGUGGCUUUUGAUGAUGUAAAUGUUAGUGUUUGUCCAAGAUCUUGUAAUAUAGCAGCUCACAGCCUAGCAGCACAUGGUGUAAGAUUAGGAGAUGGGGAAUAUGAAACUUGGCUAGGCUAUUUCCCUGAGUUUGUUGUAAACUCUGUAGCUGGUGAUUCGGCCAGUCUAAAUUUGUAA
rnacentral:rRNA from 1 species